rnacentral:rRNA from 1 species
GACGAACGCUGGCGGCGUGCUUAACACAUGCAAGUCGAGCGGUAAGGCCCUUUCGGGGUACACGAGCGGCGAACGGGUGAGUAACACGUGGGUGACCUGCCCUCAGCUCUGGGAUAAGCCUGGGAAACUGGGUCUAAUACUGGAUAUGACUCCACGGUGCAUGUCGUGGGGUGGAAAGCCUUGUGCGGCUGAGGAUGGGCCCGCGGCCUAUCAGCUUGUUGGGGGGUGAUGGCCUACCAAGGCGACGACGGGUAGCCGGCCUGAGAGGGCGACCGGCCACACUGGGACUGAGACACGGCCCAGACUCCUACGGGAGGCAGCAGUGGGGAAUCUUGCGCAAUGGGCGAAAGCCUGACGCAGCGACGCCGCGUGAGGGAUGACGG